rnacentral:rRNA from 1 species
GACGAACGCUGGCGGCGUGCUUAACACAUGCAAGUCGAACGGAAAGGCCCUGCUUUUGUGGGGUGCUCGAGUGGCGAACGGGUGAGUAACACGUGAGUAACCUGCCCUUGACUUUGGGAUAACUUCAGGAAACUGGGGCUCAUAUCGGAUAGGAGCUCCUGCUGCAUGGUGGGGGUUGGAAAGUUUCGGCGGUUGGGGAUGGACUCGAGGCUUAUCCGCUUGUUGGUGGGGUAGUGGCUUACCAAGGCUUUGACGGGUAGCCGGCCUGGGAGGGUGACCGGCCACAAUGGGACUGAGAUACGGCCCAGACUCCUACGGGAGGCAGCAGUGGGGAAUAUUGCACAGUGGGCGGAAGCCUGAUGCAGCAACGCCGCGUGCGGGAUGACGGCCUUCGGGUUGUAAACCGCUUUCGCCUGUGACGAAGCGUGAGUGACGGUAAUGGGUAAAGAAGCACCGGCUAACUACGUG